CAUAGGUUAAUGAGGCGAACCGGGGGAACUGAAACAUCUAAGUACCCCGAGGAAAAGAAAUCAACCGAGAUUCCCCCAGUAGCGGCGAGCGAACGGGGAGGAGCCCAGAGCCUGAAUCAGUGUGUGUGUUAGUGGAAGCGUCUGGAAAGGCGCGCGAUACAGGGUGACAGCCCCGUACACAAAAAUGCACAUACUGUGAGCUCGAUGAGUAGGGCGGGACACGUGGUAUCCUGUCUGAAUAUGGGGGGACCAUCCUCCAAGGCUAAAUACUCCUGACUGACCGAUAGUGAACCAGUACCGUGAGGGAAAGGCGAAAAGAACCCCGGCGAGGGGAGUGAAAAAGAACCUGAAACCGUGUACGUACAAGCAGUGGGAGCCUCUUAAUGGGGUGACUGCGUACCUUUUGUAUAAUGGGUCAGCGACUUAUAUUCUGUAGCAAGGUUAACCGAAUAGGGGAGCCGAAGGGAAACCGAG
rnacentral:rRNA from 1 species